rnacentral:rRNA from 1 species
AGCAGCCACGGUAAUUCCAGCUCCAAUAGCGUAUAUUAAAGUUGCUGCAGUUAAAAAGCUCGUAGUUGAAUUUCGGGACCAUCAUGUCGGUCGUGCCUCGGUACGUACUGGCAUUGUUGGUUUCUUCCUUCUGACGAACCAUGAUGUCAUUUAUUUGGUGUCGUGGGAAAUCAGGACUGUUACUUUAGAAAAAAUUGAGUGUUUAAAGCAGGCUCACGCUUGAAUACAUUAGC